GGCAACAUGGCCGAGUGGUUAUGGCGUAGGAUUUAGGUUCCUAUGGAGCAAUCCGCGAGGGUUCGAUCCCCUCUGUUGUCA
rnacentral:tRNA from 1 species